CUCACAUGACCGAAGGGAGGAAGGAAAUGUUUCAUACACAGUGUGUCUACGGUCUAUGCAUUGGAUUGCCCACUGGCAGCUGGUAAAGCCAUUGAAGGUCUGCGUGGCGUGUGUGAUGAGACCUAUCCUGAUCCUGUCCGUGUGGAGUCUGUGGGAAUUCCUGUGGAGGACCUUCUGACCGACCCCUCAAGUCCGUCAGUCACGUCAGUGGAGUUCUGUGGAGGAAGGUGUUUCUAUAGAUUAGUAAAUCUGCCACAGCGCCUGCCAUCUCCUCUGGUGUGCCCGGAGAGCCAUGGAAGGUCAGUUCACUGGAGAGGUACAAAUCUGCCACCAAUCUCACUAAAGCUGCCCAUAAUGUGAUGGUC